UACGAAGGGGGCGAGCGUUGUUCGGAUUUACUGGGCGUAAAGCGCGCGCAGGCGGUCCUUUAAGUCUGAUGUGAAAGCCCACGGCUCAACCGUGGAAGGUCAUUGGAAACUGGGGGACUUGAGUGCAGAAGAGGAAAGCGGAAUUCCAAAGUGUAGCGGUGAAAUGCGUAGAGAUUUGGAGGAACACCAGUGGCGAAGGCGGCUUUCUGGUCUGUAACUGACGCUGAGGCGCGAAAGCGUGGGGAGCAAACAGG
rnacentral:rRNA from 1 species